rfam:Cavia porcellus supercont2_3 genomic scaffold, whole genome shotgun sequence.
GGGGAUUUAGCUCAGUGGCAUAAGCACCUGCCUUGCAAGCAGGCCAUUGUGAGUUCAAUCCCUG